CUUUUACUAUCUGAGAGUGCUCCGGUUAACAUACAUGCAACAAAGUUUCUUAAUUCCCCUACGUUGUUCAAGAACCAAAAUCUCCCUCCUUCACCUCCUCUCAAAGGUACUAGAUAUGGCCCUUCAAUGGCUGAUAAAAGUAUGUGUCCCGGCCGUGAUGGUGCAACGGUUGACAAGAUGUCUUUUGUCCGAAGGGAUGACAUAGGAAGACCUCCUGGGUUAAAAAAAUCAUCUGAAAGUUCAGCAAAUAUCUCCUAUUCCAGAAGCUCCGGCUUGGUCUUUCAAUGAUGAUUUUGAUGAGCCCGAGUACACUUGUGCAUUCGAUGUGGCUGAAGAUGUUGUGACUGAUCCAGGUAGCAGAGCGGAUUUAUUCGAUAAAAGAAGACAUGCGCACGAUCCACUCCAGUCUGGUUCAUUUAUGCCAAUCAGAAAAUCUCAGGGUGCUGCUGUUGGAGCUCUUGUGGAUAUGUUGAAGAAAGCUCCUCCUCUUCACCAAGACGUCUCAAAUUUGGCAACAGCUUCACAAGCCUCUGGAUCUGAGACCUGGAGCAACACCGUUCAUGAGUAUUGCCAGACCCCUAAAUCCAUAUCAGCUCAGGAUGGCAAUUCAAGCGUUGCAUCCUCUGCUUUUCUUGCGUCCAAGACGACAGCUGAUGCCUUGGAAGAACUUAAGGGUUAUAAGGAGAUGAAGAAUUUAUUGCUUUCUCAAGGGAGUAGGGGUAGGUCACAGAGUGUGACCAAUCAUGCUGCUGCUGUAGAAUCUGCUGGUGAAGGUACCGUCAAAUUUUAGCAGAGGUACCUGUGGAAUUCACUGCUGACCGACCUCAAAUCUUUUUACACAUGUACAGACAAGCAUCAUGAGAUUGAGUUAGCAGCUGAGUCCUACUGUUCAUAUUUAAUCCGUACAUACUUAAUACCUGCUAUUGGAAAUACUAACCGGUGCUUUCGCUUUAUAACAUGACGAAUCACCAUGGAGGAAGUAUACCCUACUUUGUACAGAGACCUUACCCUAUUGCUUUGUUUUUCUUACUUAUGGUUUCAAUCUGCUGCUGGUGUGAUUAUCAGCAGAUUGUUA